GAUGAACGCUGGCGGCGUGCCUAAUACACGCAAGUCGAGCGAACGGACGAGAAGCUUGCUUCUCUGAUGUUAGCGGCGGACGGGUGAGUAACACGUGGAUAACCUACCUAUAAGACUGGGAUAACUUCGGGAAACCGGAGCUAAUACCGGAUGAUAUUUUGAACCGCAUGGUUCAAAAGUGAAAGACGGUCUUGCUGUCACUUAUAGAUGGAUCCGCGCUGCAUUAGCUAGUUGGUAAGGUAAUGGCUUACCAAGGCAACGAUGCAUAGCCGACCUGAGAGGGUGAUCGGCCACACUGGAACUGAGACACGGUCCAGACUCCUACGGGAGGCAGCAGUAGGGAAUCUUCCGCAAUGGGCGAAAGCCUGACGGAGCAACGCCGCGUGAGUGAUGAAGGUCUUCGGAUCGUAAAACUCUGUUAUUAGGGAAGAACAUAUGUGUAAGUAACUGUGCACAUCUUGACGGUACCUAAUCAGAAAGCCACGGCUAACUACGUG
rnacentral:rRNA from 1 species